UACAGAGGGGGCAAGCGUUGUUCGGAAUUACUGGGCGUAAAGGGCGCGUAGGCGGCCUUCUAAGUCGAACGUGAAAUCCCCGGGCUCAACCCGGGAACUGCGUCCGAUACUGGAUGGCUUGAGAUUGGGAGAGGGAUGCGGAAUUCCAGGUGUAGCGGUGAAAUGCGUAGAUAUCUGGAGGAACACCGGUGGCGAAGGCGGCAUCCUGGACCAACACUGACGCUGAGUGAGCGAAAGCCAGGGGAGCAAACGGG
rnacentral:rRNA from 1 species